UAUAGAUUAUAUUCAAAAGUUCAUCCUUUCAAAAAUAAAACUUUAGAACUGUCAAUUCACCCACAAAAAAUUUGUACCGCUCAAUGUGUCAAACUCGUUGACGAAAACGGUAGAGCAGAAGUUUACCAAAACAAUCUCUUCGGUGCUUAUACUGUUUUUUAAAUAUAUUUAGAUAAAUAGUUUUAAGUGAAAAUGAAACCUUCAGCUAGAUAGAUAUACCCGAGAAUAUACCCGAAGUGGUGGAUUAGGUUCUGAUGCAUGAGGCAGAUUGCGGGACGUCUAAUGGCUUCAAUUUUGAUGGAAAGGUGUAUCAGACCGGACGGUUUUUGUUCGGAAUCGAACGAUUGGAAACCCGGAGUUCGCCAAUCAGUCCAAGAAGUAGCAGAUGGGCGUCACAAUAAAACAUCACAAGGUAAAUUCAAAAAACAAGCAGAGGGAAGCGCAUCUCGACGGAUGUCUUCUCCAGUGGCUAAAAGAUCGACGACAAAACAACCCUAUUCAUCUAUCCAUGUCCUGCAAACCAGGCCAACUUAACAACAAAUACUCAC